rnacentral:lncRNA from 1 species
CCUUGUCAUUUUUGAAAGAUCCAAAAUAUCUCUACAACAUUUCACACUCAAACUUUGUCUUUGAAAGAAAUGAAUAGAUCAAGAAUAAAUAUCAUAUCUAUAUCAAUUAAGAGCACCUGCAGCGCGCGAGGCGAAGGAGGCGUCGAUCCGCGUCGCUGGAGAGGCUGCCGCGUUGGAGACCUCGGCUGGGUCAAAGCCGUGGCGAAGCUUAGCACCGGUGCUUGGGGGGAGAUUGGGAUAAUCGUGCGUACCACGCGCGAUUAAAAAAGAAAAAAAAAUGUUGUGACUGUGAGAUGGGGGAGAAAUAGAGAAGUAAGUUGCAGAGUGGAUGGGGGAGAAAUAAGAAAAAAAGCG